GUGCAGCAGUUGCGAAAACUUGUCAAUGCACGAAAGUGUGAACGGGCUACCCCGAGUGCCGUCCGCUGAGGAUGGCUUUUCUCUGCUGUAAGAAGGCAGAGGAAUAAGGAGAGGGCAAGUCUGGUGUCAGCCGCCGCGGUAAUACCAGCUCUCCGAGUGGUAGGGAUGAUUAUUGGGCUUAAAGCGUCCGUAGCUGGCCUUUCAAGUCUCUUGUUAAAUCCAGCGAUUCAAUCGUUGGACUGCGGGAGAUACUGUUAGGCUAGGGGACGGGAGAAGCCGACGGUAUUUCCGGGGUAGGGGUAAAAUCCUAUAAUCCCGGGAAGACCACCAGUGGCGUAGGCGGUCGGCUAGCACGCGCUCGACAGUGAGGGACGAAAGCUGGGGUAGCGAACCGGAUUAGAUACCCGGGUAGUCC
rnacentral:rRNA from 1 species